GACGUAGGGCGCGAGCGUUGUCCGGAUUUAUUGGGCGUAAAGAGCUCGUAGGCGGCUUGUCGCGUCGUCCGUGAAAACUUGGGGCUCAACCCCAAGCUUGCGGUCGAUACGGGCAGGCUAGAGUUCGGUAGGGGAGACUGGAAUUCCUGGUGUAGCGGUGAAAUGCGCAGAUAUCAGGAGGAACACCAGUGGCGAAGGCGGCACUCUGGGCCGGUACUGACGCUGAGGAGCGAAAGCGUGGGGAGCGAACAGG
rnacentral:rRNA from 1 species